CAACAUAGCCAUUGGCCAAUUUAAAAGCAUUAUUUAAAUAUUUUAACUUUGUUAUUUAUACCAAUUGUAUUAUAAACGAAUAUUUUCAUUAAAUUAUUUAGUAAACUCUUUCUUCCGUAUGAGUAAACAUUAAUUUAUUUUUAAUAAGGAAUUACUGAACUCAAUAAAAAUUGUAUAAUAUAACAUUCAUUGGAAGUCUUUUUUCAUAAAAUUUGAAAAACCG